UACGUAGGGUGCAAGCGUUGUCCGGAAUUAUUGGGCGUAAAGAGCUCGUAGGCGGUUUGUCACGUCGGCUGUGAAAACCUGAGGCUCAACCUCAGGCCUGCAGUCGAUACGGGCAAACUAGAGUGUGGUAGGGGAGACUGGAAUUCCUGGUGUAGCGGUGAAAUGCGCAGAUAUCAGGAGGAACACCGGCGGCGAAGGCGGGUCUCUGGGCCAUAACUGACGCUGAGGAGCGAAAGCGUGAGGAGCGAACAGG
rnacentral:rRNA from 1 species